rnacentral:rRNA from 1 species
UGAUACUAUUCGAAUCGCAUAGCUUGGUGGCGAUGGUUCAUUCCAAAUUUCUGCCCUAUCACCUUUCGAUGGUAGUAUAGAGGACUACCAUGGGUAUAACGGGUAACGGAGGAAUUAGGGUUCGAUUCCGGAGAGGGAGCUGAGAAACGGUACCACAUCCAAGGAAGGCAGCAGGCGCGCAAAUUACCCAAUCCCGACACGGGGAGGUAGUGACAAUAAAUAACAAUCCAGAGCUUUUUAAGUUUUGGAAUUGUAAUGAGUACAAUUUAAACCUCUUAACGAGAACCAAUUGGAGGGCAAGUCUGGUGCCAGCAGCCGGGGUAAUUCCAGCUCCAAUAGCGUAUAUUAAAGUUGUUGCAGUUAAAAAGCUCGUAGUUUGAAUUUUUGGGCUUGGUUGGGCGGGUCUUACUCUUUUGAGUAAGUACUUCUCUGGGCUGAGUCUUUUCCUUCUGGAGAACUAUUGGUGCUAUUCAUUUAGUGGCGGUAGGGGAACCAAGGGACUUUUACUUUGAAAAAAUUAGAAGUGUCAAAGCAGGCCUAUGCUCGAAUACAUUAGCAUGGAAAUAAUAGAAUAAGGGA